rnacentral:lncRNA from 9 species
GGUGUUCAGGUGUGUGUGUCCAUAGGUGGGCAGUGGUGUGAGGGUGAAAAAGAGAAAUCAGAGAGAGCUAUGCCUUUCCGACUGUCAGGAAGGGUGGACAGCUGAUGAAGGUGCUGUGCUGAAAGCCAGGAAAGGGUUUAAGGAGGGUGCUGGCGCCUCAGGAACGCCCUCCUGCUACGUUGUCCAGGAGGCCGUGGGCGGUGGCUGAACAGCCCCGGUGCAGUGACUGAACCCCACCGUCGACAGGAAAAGGUGUUCCUUUGAUACAGUGGAUGGUGACUCUGCUGUUCUGCCUGGGAGUGGUUCAAAAUGCUGACCACACUCCUGCUCCUGUUCCUGACCCAAGGAAGCCCCCAUGCAGAGCACCCUGUCCUCUCUGAAUGGGACCAGCAGCUGGAUGCUGAGUACCAAUAGCAUCUGCCCUAUACCGAAUCCGAGGAAGGCCCUGAAGGUCCAGUAACUUGCCUAGGGACACAGGUAAGAAGGGACAGGGUCCAAAUGCACACUCAGUCCCACCUGUUUCCAAAGUCCUGGGGCCCAAUUAUGGUGCUAUCCAGCCACCUACCAGUCCAUACUGUAUUCCAGGGAACAGGCCUUGGGACUGCAGAGUUGGGGCCCUCGAGGCCACCUGCUCAGGGCUGUCCCUCAACAGGUGAGGAAUCUGAAUAAGGGAGAAGCACAUAGGCUCAGCCACGUCCACCCGGGGAAGUUGGUGGCAGAGCCAGAGCAGAACCUGGGUGCCCUCUCCACCUUGGCUCUGAUAGAUCGUGAACCUCACAGGUAUGAUGAGGAUUCAAAGAGUUAGAGCAUACAAAGUACAUAGGACAGCACGAGGCCUGGACGUCCACAUCCUGCAGCCCCUGCCACCAAACUGUUCACCUGGGGAUCCUGCCUGACGCAAGCAACCUGCAUGUGGUAGAAACCCUCAGCUUGGCAGAACUGCAGACCACAGCAGCCCCAGUGUCCAUGUUAUAGCCAUGUCCCAGUAGAGAUUCUUUCACCGUAGAUGUAAGAGUCCAGACACUUCUGAAUUCGAAAACCAUGGUGAUUUAUGUGGUAUGGCCACGAUGAUAAAAUAUUCAAAGUUCUAUCUAUCUCCCCCAACUCCAGCAAGAACUUUGGCAGAACUUCUGUGCCACAGGCAGUACUAAGGAACUUGCCAAUUUUGCAUCCUCAAAAUAAAACAGGUUCCAAGAUAGGUGGCAGAAAGUGGAAAAUGCAAUAUUUCUUGAUUGGGUAACUAAGAACCAUGCAGCAGGCAGGAACCAUUUGAGGCCAGAGAAUGUUCAUUUAAAGGUGUUUACUGACACCUGGAGAUAGAGGUUAAACUGCAAAUGCUACUUUUAUGUUUGUUUGUGUUACAUAAUUUCAUAAUGGUGGUACAGUCCAGGGCAGCUACCAAAAUGAAAAUUCCAAAGUCAUAAUUUUACUGCUGCGUUUCUCCAGCAGAGACAUUCUAUACCUCCCAGGUGAAUCUUAGGAAGAGCCCUGGAGGGCAGCUGCCAGCCGAAGGGCAGGGCGGGGCGCUGUUUUCGCCAUGACCACCUGAUCUCUUCUCGGCUCUUCUUGGUGUGCACGACUGCUCGACUCGUCCGCGUUAACUCUCAUGAUGUGUUUGGGAUGCGCUCCCCCUCUUUGUAGGACUGAGUCAGGGAGAUGUUCUCCCUCCUCGGAGGAUUCCAUUCUGAGCCCAGUCACCUUAGUAGAUGCGGGAGCUACUCCACGUGGCCUUUGAGGUCUGGGACCCUGGGCAAAUUGAGGGAGGGGGUCUUGGCAGAGUAAUCACUCAGAACUCAAGGUAAGAACCGUCCAUCUCUGGUUUUUGUGUUUGGCAGUAGAGGCAUGGGAACCCCUGCAUUCCUCGCAUGUGAGUAUCAGGACUUGAGGAAAAAUCUGUACUCAGAACUUGGUUGCCAGUGGGGAGGGGGGAGGGGGAGGUAGAGGUAGGGGAUUAAGAGGUACAAACUGUUGGGUAUAAAAUGAGCUACAAGAGGCGUUCCCUUCGUGGCUCAGCAGUUAACGAACAUGACUAGGAUCCAUGAGGAUGCGGGUUCGAUCCCUGGCCUCGCUCAGUGGGUUAAGGAUCUGGCUUAGGUGUAGAUCACAGAUGCAGCUCCAAUCCCGUGCUGCUGUGGCUGUGGUGUCAGCUGGCAGCUCUAGCUCUGAUUCUACCCCUAGCCUGGGAACUUCCAUAUGCCGUGGAUGUGGCCCUAAAAAGACAAAAAUAAGCUAGAAGGAUAUAUUGUACAAUAUGGGGAAUAUGGCACAUAUUUUAUAUAUAUUUCAAAAUUGCAAAUCACUAUAUUGCACACCUGUAACUUAUAAAUGUUUUAUAUCAACUAUACCUCUCGGAGUUCCCACUGUGGUGCAAUGGGAUCGGUGGUGUCCCGGAGCACCAGGACACAGGUUUGAUCCCCAGCCCAGCACAGUGGGUUAAGGAUCCAGCACUACCGCAACUGUGGCACAAAUUCAAUCCCUGGCCUGGGAACUCCAUACAUGGGGUGGCCAAAAAAGAAAACAAAAUAAAAACCUAUACUUAUAAAAA